GCCAAUGCUCACACGCCAUCAGCCUCCCUCCCGCUUUCACAAAGCCCGGCUCUUUGGGGAGAGGGGUGUGCGCGGCAGACGGCCGUGCCAAGGGGCACCCCGACCCGAGGGGCAAUGUUAGCCACCCCCUUACCUUUGUGCCGGAUGCUCCGCUUCCAGUCCUUGGCGGUCUCCCUGCCGCUGACAAACUGGAACUCGUUAGGGGUGAGCCACUCUCCCCGGUACCGGAUGGAGGGUCCUUUGCUGCCCUGGCAUAACUUACUGAUGUAGAGCAGCGCCUUGUUCUCCCCGCACUCCACCUCGAUGCACGGCUCGCCGUUGUCAAAGAAGGGCUGGAAAUCCGGGAUGGAGGAAAAGCGCUCCAGCAUCAGGUCGCCUCCAUAAAAUUACCUUGACAGUAUCACAUCAGCUAUGGGAAGCAUAUGUUUGUCCCUGAAACAUGCUAUUGAAUUGCCCUGAGUUUACUGAAAGACAGGAGCAAGACCAGUCCAAUAACCAUGACACCGCUUCCUGAGCCAAUCAAGCUUCUGCCUGCCCCAGAGGACAUCAGGCUGUCUAACAGCCAGGACUCUGGGCUUUUUAUCUUUUGUUGCAUGCCAGGUGUAGCCCUGCCAUGUGAUGCUCUGUGUUCACUGCAGCAUGCGAGCAGCCCAGCACUGCUGCCGGAGUCACGCUCAGUGGGAUCGGUACUGGAGGUGGACAUGGUGCUGUGCAGACAUAUCAGCAGACAAGCGGUCUGAUUCUCCUCUCUUGCAUACUGAUGUAAAUCAAGGAUAACGCCACUGAAGUGCAGCUACACUGGGGGAAGUGGGGUCAGAAGCACACCCGAGGGCUCUAUCUCAUAAAGAAGAGAGAUUCGUUCAAGUAAACCUGUUGCCAUGGCUACGGUGCAAUGAAGAGCUUUAAUCAAACAAAACUCUGAUAAGAUGUAAGAAAAGAAUAACGCAAACAGAACAAAAUAAAAGGAAUUUCCA